rnacentral:rRNA from 1 species
UGGGGAAUUUUGGACAAUGGGCGAAAGCCUGAUCCAGCAAUGCCGCGUGUGUGAAGAAGGCCUUCGGGUUGUAAAGCACUUUUGUCCGGAAAGAAAUCCUUGGCUCUAAUACAGUCGGGGGAUGACGGUACCGGAAGAAUAAGCACCGGCUAACUACGUGCCAGCAGCCGCGGUAAUACGUAGGGUGCAAGCGUUAAUCGGAAUUACUGGGCGUAAAGCGUGCGCAGGCGGUUUGCUAAGACCGAUGUGAAAUCCCCGGGCUCAACCCGGGAACUGCAUUGGUGACUGGCAGGCUAGAGUAUGGCAGAGGGGGGUAGAAUUCCACGUGUAGCAGUGAAAUGCGUAGAGAUGUGGAGGAAUACCGAUGGCGAAGGCAGCCCCCUGGGCCAAUACUGACGCUCAUGCACGAAAGCGUGGGGAGCAAACAGGAUUAGAUACCCUGGUAGUCCACGCCCUAAACGAUGUCAACUAGUUGUUGGGGAUUCAUUUCCUUAGUAACGUAGCUAACGCGUGAAGUUGACCGCCUGGGGAGUACGGUCGCAAGAUUAAAACUUAAAGGAAUUGACGGGGUCAUAGCUGUUUCCU